UUCGGGUGAGGCAAGCGUUGUUCGGAAUCACUGGGCUUAAAGCGCGUGUAGGCGGCUCGGUAAGUACCUUGUGAAAUCCCUUUUCUCAAUGAAGGAACCGCUGGGUAUACUGCCGGGCUAGAGGCAGGUAGGGGUCACUGGAACUCUAGGUGGAGCGGUGAAAUGCGUAGAUAUCUAGAGGAACGCCCGUGGCGAAAGCGGGUGACUGGGCCUGUCCUGACGCUGAGACGCGAAAGCGUGGGUAGCAAACGGG
rnacentral:rRNA from 1 species